rnacentral:rRNA from 1 species
UUAGGUGUUUAUUGCAACAAGGUUCCACCUCUUCCCAUUCCGAACAGAGUAGUUAAGCUUGUUAGCGCCGAUGGUACUGCAGAGAUGUGGGAGAGUAGGUCGACGCCAACC